CCCGAGUAGAUCUUUGGUCAGAGUAGAUAGCCCAUGAUGGAGGUGGGAUCGAGUGGCCUGGCUUGACUCUCAUGUUUAUCCAUCCAUGAGAUAGCAGGCAUGCCCUAGGGUGUGAGGGUGAGAUAGAUCACAAGCUCUCAGAGAUAGGUAGAGGCUGAACAUCGAGUCGAGAUGAAGAUUGUUAGAAAAUACACUUCAAGAUUUGAUCCACGUUGAGCCCAC
rnacentral:lncRNA from 1 species